rnacentral:rRNA from 1 species
GUCCACGCCGUAAACGAUGAUUACUGGUUGUGUGCGAUACACAGUGCGCGACUGAGGGAAACCAUUAAGUAAUCCACCUGGGGAGUACGUUCGCAAGAAUGAAACUCAAAGGAAUUGACGGGGGCCCGCACAAGCGGAGGAACAUGUGGUUUAAUUCGAUGAUACGCGAGGAACCUUACCUGGGCUUAAAUGUAGAGUGCAUGACUUGGAAACAGGUCUUUCCUUCGGGACUCUUUACAAGGUGCUGCAUGGUUGUCGU